AGUAACUGCGAGUGAAGCGGGAAAAGCUCAAAUUUAAAAUCUGGCAGUCUUUGGCUGUCCGAGUUGUAAUCUAGAGAAGUGUUAUCCGUGCUGGACCGUGUAAAAGUCUCCUGGAAUGGAGCGUCAUAGAGGGUGAGAAUCCCGUCUUUGACACGGACUCCCAGUACAUUGUGAUGCGCUCUCAAAGAGUCGAGUUGUUUGGGAAUGCAGCUCAAAAUGGGUGGUAAAUUCCAUCUAAAGCUAAAUAUUGGCGAGAGACCGAUAGCGAACAAGUACCGUGAGGGAAAGAUGAAAAGAACUUUGGAAAGAGAGUUAAACAGUACGUGAAAUUGUUGAAAGGGAAACGCUUGAAGUCAGUCGCACUGGCCAGGGAUCAACUUAACUUUUUUGUUGAGUGUACUUUCUGGUUAGUGGGUCAGCAUCAAUUUUGACCAUUGGAAAAAGGCUAAGGGAAUGUGGCACCUCUUGGUGUGUUAUAGCCCUAGUUGUAUACAGUGGUUGGGAUUGAGGAACUCAGCACGCCGCAAGGCCGGGUUUUUAACCACGUUCGUGCUUAGGAUGCUGGCAUAAUGGCUUUAA
rnacentral:rRNA from 2 species